rnacentral:rRNA from 1 species
GACGAACGCUGGCGGCGUGCUUAACACAUGCAAGUCGAACGAAGUGGCGAACGGGUGAGUAACGCGUAAUCAACCUGCCCUUCAGAGGGGGACACCAGUUGGAAACGACUGCUAAUACCGCAUACUGAAGGAGGGGAUUGCGUCUGAUUAGCUAUGUGGGGGGGCAACGGCCCACCAAGGCGAUGAUCAGUAGCCGGUCUGGGAGGAUGAACGGCCACAGUGGGACUGGGGCACGGCCCAGACGCCUUCGGGAGGCAGCAGGUGGGAAAUUUCCGCAAUGGACGAAAGUCUGACGGAGCAACGCCGCGGGAGUGAUGACGGCCUUCGGGGUGUAAAGCUCUGUUAAGCGGGACGCGGUACCGGAAUAGAAAGCCACGGCUAACUACGUGCCAGCAGCCGCGGUAAUAC